rnacentral:rRNA from 1 species
GACGAACGCUGGCGGCGUGCUUAACACAUGCAAGUCGAACGGAAAGGCCCCUUUGGGGGUACUCGAGUGGCGAACGGGUGAGUAACACGUGAGUAACCUGCCCUUGACUUCGGGAUAACUUCAGGAAACUGGGGCUAAUACCGGAUAGGAAUCCUUGCUGCAUGGUGGGGGUUGGAAAGCUUCGGCGGUUUUGGAUGGACUCGCGGCUUAUCAGCUUGUUGGUGGGGUAGUGCUUACCAAGGCUUUGACGGGUAGCCGGCCUGAGAGGGCGACCGGCCACAUUGGGACUGAGAUACGGCCCAGACUCCUACGGGAGGCAGCAGUGGGGAAUAUUGCACAAUGGGCGGAAGCCUGAUGCAGCAACGCCGCGGGCGGGAUGACGGCCUUCGGGUUGUAAACCGCUUUCAGCAGGGGCGAAGCUUGUGGUGACGGUACCUGCAGAAGAAGCACCGGCUAACUACGUG